GAUGAACGCUAGCGGCAGGCCUAAUACAUGCAAGUCGGACGGGAUUUGGGAGCUUGCUCCUGAUGAGAGUGGCGCACGGGUGCGUAACACGUAUGUAACCUACCUUGAUCUGGGGGAUAGCCUCUCGAAAGAGAGAUUAACACCGCAUAAUAUUAUUUGGCAGCAUUGUUGAAUAAUCAAAUAUUUAUAGGAUCAAGAUGGGCAUGCGGAACAUUAGCUAGUUGGUAAGGUAAUGGCUUACCAAGGCUACGAUGUUUAGGGGAUCUGAGAGGAU
rnacentral:rRNA from 1 species